UGGGGAAUUUUGCACAAUGGGGGAAACCCUGAUGCAGCGACGCCGCGUGAUUUAGAAGGCCUUCGGGUUGUAAAAAUCUUUUCUAUGGGAAGAAAAUGACAGUACCAUAGGAAUAAUGACCGGCUAAUUACGUGCCAGCAGCCGCGGUAAUACGUAAGGUCCGAGCGUUGUCCGGAAUCAUUGGGCGUAAAGGGUACGUAGGCGGGUAAGCAAGUUAGAAGUGAAAUCCUAUAGCGCAACUAUAGUAAGCUUUUAAAACUGCUCAUCUUGAGGUAUGGAAGGGAAAGUGGAAUUCCUAGUGUAGCGGUGAAAUGCGAAGAUAUUAGGAGGAAUACCGGUGGCGAAGGCGACUUUCUGGCCAUAACCUGACGCUGAGGUACGAAAGCGUGGGUAGCAAACAGG
rnacentral:rRNA from 1 species